rnacentral:misc_RNA from 1 species
GAAAUGCGAUAAGUAAUGUGAAUUUCAGAAUUCAGUGAAUCAUCGAAUCUUUGAACGCACAUUGCGCCCGCCAGUAUUCUGGCGGGCAUGCCUGUCCGAGCGUCAUUUCAACCAUCAAGCCCCCGGGCUUGUGUUGGGGACCUGCGGCUGCCCGCAGGCCCUGAAAACCAGUGGCGGGCUCGCUGUCACACCGAGCGUAGUAGCAAUCACCUCGCUCAGGGCGUGCUGCGGGUUCCGGCCGUUAAACAGCCUUACAAAACCCAAGGUUGACCUCGGAUCAGGUAGGAAGACCCGCUGAACUUAAGC